ensembl:lncRNA
CCUCAUCUGUACUUUGAGGUAUGUCCACUAAAACACCACUCAUGACAUGCCAGGGACAAAAACCUGGAAAUUAUUUAAAAUUUGGACAAUAUUUAAGAUAUUCCAGAUGUUGAUCCCUAAGCAUCUAAUGCUGGCAAUGGAAAACAGCAGUGGAAGACUACAGUGAACAUAAACCAGGAAGCCCACAAAGCACAAACUUCUGUACUGGCCACAUCACUCUCACUUGCAGGCAGAGUAUUUGCUUUCCUGGGUGGCUUUUCCAACAAGGGACUACCAGAAUACCCCUGUAAAAGGGAGCAGGUGUGUUUCAGUGACUCAUCCUAGAGGAAAAGCAGGCUAUAACUUCCACAUUUCAAAAGAACAAGAACCACACAAAUUAUUUUUGUUUCCAAGCAGUGAAAUUCAGAUGUAGUACGUUUUGAAAGCUCAGUAUCCAAUGUAACCAAGCUUCUGUCUUGGUUACACAGAAAAGGGCAAACCAAAUUGCACCUAGCUGAACAUUACCCUGAAAAGACAAUUUAACUUUUCAAGUUAAACUUGGGGUCUCAUCAGUACUAAAAAUAGGUACAUCUUUUAUAAUCCUGGCAAAGUCCACUUUAGCUGAAAACACAGCAAGUGAUAUGAUUGAUAAUCUUCUGGAUAGAUAAUGGCAACUCUUCAAUGAUCCUAAAGUACCACACACUCCUUACAAAAAUCCAGCAUCAAUAUUCUUUCUUGCUGGUUAUAAGGAAGAUUAUUUUCUCACCUGAAGGCCAAGACAUGAGAAAAUUAGUAAUUUCUUUUUCCAGACAGUGUCAAAUUUCAUAGUGAAUUUUCAUUAAACAGCUUUAAGAGGCAGCUUUUAAUUCUAUCAGAAGUUAUCCCACCAGACCAAGAGCUUAAACAUACCUGGCAAGCUCUUCACAUAUACUUGUUAUCCUUUGUCUGUGUUUGCACAGAUUAUUUUAGCUCCCUCUACACUUCUCAGCAAGAAAUGGCAUGUACUAGCUGAAUUAGCUGAGCCCAUUGUGAGCUGAUAAUAGGAAGUUAGCUCACUCCCAUGCAAAUAAGUACAUCUGCUAUGAGACAAGGAUCCAAUGCAAAACUUGCUGUUGCUGAUGAAAGCUCUCAGUUUCUUUCUAUUAGCAAAAGUAAAGUGAACCAAGUAAUGUGCUUUCCUGGAAGUUCAUUUCUAGCAGGUAGAAACCAUCCCAGUUCUGUAAAGUCCACAAUCACUGCUGCAGAUCAUUUAUACCAUAGCUGAACACCUGAGGACUUUUACAUUUAGAAUUUUUUUGGCAUAAAAAGUGUAAGCCAGAUGAUUCACUUCCUCCUGUAUCAGAUGGUGAUAGUGCACCAGGUAACCAGUCCGUGCAAUAGUCAUCUCAAAAUGUAACCUACACCAUUAAUUAGCAUUUAAUAGUCCCAUCACUUCACUUAUUAUUUCUUCUAAACUUCUACAUGACACAUUCCAGAUGAAAAUUCCCUCCAUGAACCUGUUCCAUGAUCUAAAGACCAAACACCUUUCAGGAGUACAAAAGAAGUAUUUCAUUAUUUUAGCAGUACAAAAGUGGUAUCAGUUUUAGGGUCACUUCACAGUUCCUAUUCCCAGAAAGAAAUGUGGGAAAUGUGUGUAUGAUGGAAAACAGCAACCAGACUAACUCGAUACCCUGAUAUGGUAAAACAUAAGACUGAUGUACUUAAGCCAGGAGCUAGAGGUGAGACCAAUCCAUUGAAAACUGAGUACUAAGGGUUUGGAUUGCAAUUUGCAGCUGUGGGAUACAUGCUUCUUGAUUGAUGAGAAUCUACCAAAAGAUUAGUACAGACCAGGAAAUCCACAGCUCCUACCCAUCCCAGCGACUGCCUCCUCCAGCACAGGACAUACUGUUAUUGUGGUAGGAAUGAAUGAGAUAAGAGAGAAGCACCAGACCCCUCCUGUUUCAAUGCUGUUUAAAGAACAAUGAGGAGUUUUAUUUUGUUCUGACCCCACCAAGGUUACUGACUACAUGGUCUGACUGCAGCACAGGACACUCCAUCCCUUUUCAGUGAUGUCACUGCUCACACAUGGGAAGAACACCACAGCAUGAUGCUGGCACUUGAAGCAUGUGUGAAAUAACAUUUUAACUGAACUAAUUAAGCCCCAUAGGAUUAACUCUGAAGUUUUGCUGUCAAAAAGCCUGAGGAGAAUAUUACUGCUUACAUAACCUAAUCACUCUUCAGAUAUUUCCAGGGAACCUCAGCCACAAGGUCUGUAGGAGCAAGAAGGAUCAAUGUGAUGAUCUGGGAGGUGGUGAGAGUAAACGGAUGAGAAGAGAACACAUAGUACAAAAAUCACCACAAAGCAGGAAUAUAAUGCUUCCCAGUGCUUCUCCUCUCUUUUACCCAGUGACAAUUCUUGUCUAAAUCCCCAUGACAUAAGACAGACUAGUAAUUCAGCCAUAGACUUGGGCCUCUGAAUGUCAGUGUUCAGUUUCCAACUUCAUUUCAGAGAUGCACUGAGCUGAGGUAGCUCUGAGGCAAAGCUGUUUCAUCUGUGUGCUGAUGCUUCUUCUGUAAAGUGGAGACAAGCUGUAGUUGCCUUCUUUCCUUGCCAUUUUUCCUGCCUCCCCUGUUUCAGCUGUACAUCAACAUGGGACGCCAGUGUCAGCCUGGAGACAUCUUUACCAGAGUUCAGAUCCUCAUCAAUAAUCCUCCUAGGAAACCAAUUCUCAGACGACAAUACACCAGAAAUACUGUCAGCUGGUUAGGGCAAAAAAUAUUUAAGAAAGUGAUUAAAUUAGACUCCUUCACCAAAAGUAAGUACCAUAUUCCCAAAGAGUCAGAGACACAAAAUCUGGUAUAAAAAUUUACAACAAUCUUUUCUACAUGCUUUACAAAUCAAGUUGAAAUUAAAAAAGGAAUUGCUAAAAACUUUAUAAUGAAGAAAACAAAAUAUUUUUUUAAAAGUUACUUCAAAAUAGCAAUUUUUUUCUUCUUCAUUUACCCUCAGCCACCUAAUUUCAGUUAUCAUGCAACAUACAGCAUCUGAAGUUGUGCAGAGCACAAUACUUGCUCAGCAUAGCAUUGAAAUGGCACAUCUCACGAAGUUUAGCCUAUGAAACACUACCACAACAGAAAAAAUAAUAUUGAAGAGGAAGCAGCUCAUCUCUAUGCAAUGCUUAAGCCUUACACAGUUAAAACAAUGGUACCUUUAAGACCAAAACUAUUUUAGAUCAUUACAUUAAAACAUGGCAUCAAUAUUUACACAUGUAACUGAAGUAAGGUGCUUGUUUUUCAUGCUUAUGCUGCAUUAUCUCCUGCAAUCUAACAGACAGAAUGCAUUCCAGGCUAUACCCCAAAAAAUUAGGUUUGUGGUGGUGUUUUUUUUCCCCUCACAGUCAUUUCAAAACACUUAUCACUUCCACAAUUUCUCAACCAGCUGCACUGUUUCCUUACAGGGUGACUUUUGUUUGGGUGAUUCUGUAUUACAGCAACAUUCAAGGUUGCUUAAGUCAUCAACAGCCAAACAUUAUGAAGUGUCAAUUGACAUCAAAACCAAAUCCAAAGCAGAGAUGAUUAUCUCCCCAUCUAAAUACAUAUGAGGUGCUGGUUUAUUUUUUUAAAAAGAAACUGUGCAAUAAACAAAAUCAGCCAGCCAGCCUGGAGACUGCAAUCUGCAACUGUAUUUAAGUUCUAACUAGUUUUAGUAAAUGCUUCACCCACAUAAUCACACCAUGUCAUGCUCAUAUAUUUCUGGUAUGGGAAAAGGGAACUCGCAGCAGGUCAUGCCAGACCUCCUCUCUCCCUAUACCACAUCAUUUAAAGGAUUCCAACCCGAGGAGAAACAUACCUUUGCAUGGAAAUGACUUCAUCUUUUUAAGGCUUCCUUCCAUGUUUAUUCUAUCUGCAUGCAUCACACAGACUAGCAUGUUCUAGACCAAGGCACUGCCAAAAUUUAUUGCCAGUGCCUAAUCCUUUCAAGCCCUUGACUCCUAUGCCUAAAAUGUUCCAAGGCACGCAGUGAUGACAUUCCUGUUGCACAAGUGUAGAUUAGUGCCCAAAAAGGCAUCUGCAUGAGGAAAGAGAGAGGAAAAAAAAAAUAAUCAGGCUAUACUGGUUAACAGUGACAAAAAAAAAAAGACACAAAGUUCAGACCACAUCAGAACACACCAACUCUUGGCAGUAACUGAGCUGUGACCAGUCUGGAUUGACAAACUGGUAAGAUGGGCUAAAAAUGGAUUUCAGAAGAGUGAUUACAGUAAUGAUCACAAUUGGAGGUCUCUAUGUGAAAUGAAAUGAAGAAAUAUCUUGGAAGAGAUUAAGAGUCCUGAUGUGGCAAGAUGACUGACUCUCAUACUCCACCAAUCAGUACACUGACUUGCUUAACUCCUGCAGUUCCACUUACCUCCUUAUCUAGCAUUACAUCCCCAGCUGUAGCUCUGCAGCAAAUUUAAUAAACAUCUGAAACCUCUUAUGACAUUAGACAUGCAUUUACAUAACUCUUCCCCCAGCCUCAACUACCUGUUAUGCUUCUGUACCACUAAAAAAGCACCAAAAGACAGUAUGGAGAAGCUGAGUGACGUACUCAGAGCUUUCUCUGACAGGCUAUUCAAGGAAUUUCUUUGCUUCAUGUUAAACAGAAGUUCUCAGAAUAAGGAGCAUCAGGUAACAGACUCAAGCCCUUUACCUCGCAAUUCUGUUCUUACCGGUUCAGUUUAUUAAACCAGCUCCUCCCAGAAUUACACUUCAACACUGCAGGCAGCCCCAAAACUUUUAUUACUAUUAUUAUUUUAAUAACACUCCCUGAGUCAAUACACAAUUUUAUGCCUAUUGACUCAAGGAGCACAACUCAUGAUACAGAAAGGGUAAGAUUUUCUGCAAGACUGCCUUUAGAAAGCUUCCCCACCUGUGGAAAUAUGCAAGUAUGGCCAAUGUAAAUGACCAAAAUGGUCACAGGCAGCUGGAGAGAAUGAAUAAAAUAAAUAAUUUCACUUUAAACCACAAAAUGGCUUGGGCAAGUGACAUGCACCACUUUUACAUUACUGAAAAGGUUCAUUAAUUCUUCAAAUGGACUUUUCAAAUAAGGACUCAGUCUAAGAAGGAAAGAGACAUCAUCUUUUAAAGCUUUUAAGACAGAUUGAUGGCAGAAAAAAGGUAGAAGGCCCAUAUAAGAUAAAUGCCAGUAAACUGCAUUUUCAUUGCUCUCUUCAAAAGGAGAAGUUUUUUUACUUGCUAACUAGAACACAAGGACUUUAUCUACAACCAUUACAGAAAGUAAGAGUACAUCCAAUUAAGAAAUCUCAGAGGUGACCUUGCAUUGAAGGAUAAAGAUGACUGUUGCUAUGUUAGGUACUAGGAUACCAGGGCGCACUUCCCCUCCCAUUUUCAAUACUUCUACCCACCACAUCUUCCAGUCAGCAAGUCUACACAACUCUGCCUCUGCUCCCAGCCUUGAAAUUUCACUCACAAAAGCAAAGAGCUCACAGCCUGAUACAAACAACAUAUGUAAGUAAAGAGGCUGAUGUAAUGUUACUUAAAACGUCACUUUCCCUGUUAUUCUGUUAAGACUGUCCCAAGAGGACCUCUCUUGCAAGCUGGUUAUAUCUAAUUUGCCCUCAACUUAAUACAAAACAAACCAUGAAAAAACCAUGAAAACAUAAAUUUAACUUUCUUUAGCAAUACUGUGGAAUUUAUUUAAUGGUCGAGCAAUUGUUGGACAAAAAUUUGUGUCAGGUCUUGCAGACAGACUGUACGAGACAAGGUAUGUAUGGUCAAAUAUUUUACUUCAAGUGACUUGAUUCCUGUUUUUACCCUUUUGGAAGAAGAGGGCUUUGCUGUUUAUAGGUUUCCAGUUGGACCAGUCUCCCAAGAGCUGACACAGAUGAGUGGACUGAAGCAUGAAGUCUGUUGAAGCAACAGCAGGCAGCAAUACACUCAUCUGGUCUAAUGAGCUUAGCUUUUCUACUCCAAACCUCUGGAUUUGAAUCUUAUAUUGCAGCCACAAGCAAAACUACCUUGGACAACAUCAUCUUGCCUGCAUGCAACUCCUCUGCUCCCCCUAAACCACCACAAGGCAUUGCAGCAACUUAAUUUGAGUGAACAGGCUGUUUAAGGGAAACCAGAAUGGGAAAAUAAGCCCAGACAUCUUUUCCUCAGAAAAAAAUCAAACUUGUGUAAGCUGGUUGAGUGACAUACUUUGGUGUGGAAUGCAUGUUAGUUUAUGCAGUACCAGUGAUAAUUAUUUGUGAGUACAUCAGUAUAGAUUUUUAUUUAUUCCUCCAUUUAAUGCUAUGUGUCUCUUUCUUCACAGAUACUGCGCCUGCCCACUGCCUCCUUUCUUCACUGACAGCAAACUGGAUGCAAAUAUUAUUUACUUACAUUACAAUGUCACAUGUUCCUUGCCACUUAAUGAGUCUGAAAUUGUCAGCCUAAGGGUGUCUGAGAUCUUCAUUUCACUUUUCUGUUCAGCUUCCAGAAAAAAAUGGUCAAGGAAAGGGAGAUUAAGAGUUGAUACGAGAUUCCUGAACUCUCCUCACUGGCAGAGGGUUUGUCUUCGGGCAACUUCUAGAAAAGAAGUGUCCAGUUGAUCCCUCUAUGCAGAUUGCUGGACUGCUGUUCUUCUGCAGCACAGACAUACUGGAAGGAAAAGGUAGGUUAAAGAAAUAUCCAGACUACACACCCCCUGCUCUUCUGGCAACUCUGCCCAAGGAGCCAUUAACAACACAAAAAGGACUGCAUAUUUCUCAUAAAAGAGCAGUGUUAAAGGCUAUGGACCUGUGAUUCAAGUGUGAAAACCCACUUCAAGCCAUUCCAAAAUGAGGCCAUUCAAACUAGCAAAAGGUUUUAAAAUAUCCUCAAGAAAAACCUAUCAGAGAGGAUGCAAUCAAUAUAACUUUUGAUUUUUUUAGAGAAUAGAAAUUUACACUACCCAUUUUAAAAUCCCAUUUAUACUUAUCAUCUCUAUCAGCAAACCAGUAAAAAACUCAAACACAGUUACAGGAAAACACAGGUUUACCUGGAAUAUUUUGUAACAUGGGUAUAUGAAGAUCCAGAGUGCAUCAAUGAGUUUCUUUCAGAUCUCUAAGCACUGAGCUACGAGAGGCCCAAGUAUCCUAAAGGCAGCAGCAAAGCUGAAACUAAAGACACAGACCUGUGAAGAACAGAGGUUAAGCCCCCUACCCCCUCCUCACCAAAAAAAAAGGGUUGGCAUUGCUACUUAUUUGUUCACUGGAGAAAACAGAAGAGAAAAACAUCUUCCUUCCAAUGACAGUUCACUUACAUCAGAUACUUGUAGCAACAAUACAAUAUACAAUCUUUUUAUGAUUAACAUAAUGACAAAUAGGGUAGCAGCUGACAGACAUGUUGUUGGCCAUUAGGAAGGCAUUGAAAAUCUGGAAAAAUGGAAUUCUUCUUAGAAGUCUUUUCUGGUAGGCAGGAAGAAGAAAGGAGAAUCUCAAAUCAACACUUCUGUGACUUCACUUCAGAGAAUUCCCCUAUCAAAGGUCUGAGUCUUCAGAUUUCCUGGAGGUUUAAAUAGAAAGAGCCAAAGACAACAAAGAUGCCACACACCUAAUCUUACUCAGAUGUAUGUGACAACAGA